CCUACGGGCGGCUGCAGUGGGGAAUAUUGCACAAUGGGCGCAAGCCUGAUGCAGCCAUGCCGCGUGUGUGAAGAAGGCCUUCGGGUUGUAAAGCACUUUCAGCGGGGAGGAAGGCGGUGAGGUUAAUAACCUCAUCGAUUGACGUUACCCGCAGAAGAAGCACCGGCUAACUCCGUGCCAGCAGCCGCGGUAAUACGGAGGGUGCAAGCGUUAAUCGGAAUUACUGGGCGUAAAGCGCACGCAGGCGGUCUGUCAAGUCGGAUGUGAAAUCCCCGGGCUCAACCUGGGAACUGCAUUCGAAACUGGCAGGCUAGAGUCUUGUAGAGGGGGGUAGAAUUCCAGGUGUAGCGGUGAAAUGCGUAGAGAUCUGGAGGAAUACCGGUGGCGAAGGCGGCCCCCUGGACAAAGACUGACGCUCAGGUGCGAAAGCGUGGGGAGCAAACAGGAUUAAUACCCCAGUAGUC
rnacentral:rRNA from 1 species